ACAGCAGCCGCCACGGUAAUACGUAGGUGGCAAGCGUUGUCCGGAAUUAUUGGGCGUAAAGGGCUCGCAGGCGGUUUCUUAAGUCUGAUGUGAAAGCCCCCGGCUCAACCGGGGAGGGUCAUUGGAAACUGGGAAACUUGAGUGCAGAAGAGGAGAGUGGAAUUCCACGUGUAGCGGUGAAAUGCGUAGAGAUGUGGAGGAACACCAGUGGCGAAGGCGACUCUCUGGUCUGUAACUGACGCUGAGGAGCGAAAGCGUGGGGAGCGAACAGGAUUAGAUACCCGCGUAGUCCCUGUCUCUUAUAA
rnacentral:rRNA from 1 species